rnacentral:rRNA from 1 species
GGUGAGUAACGCGUGGGUAACCUGCCUUAUACAGGGGGAUAACAGUUAGAAAUGACUGCUAAUACCGCAUAAGCGCACAGGAUUGCAUGAUCUGGUGUGAAAAACUCCGGUGGUAUAAGAUGGACCCGCGUCUGAUUAGCUGGUUGGUGAGGUAACGGCCCACCAAGGCGACGAUCAGUAGCCGACCUGAGAGGGYGACCGGCCACAUUGGGACUGAGACACGGCCCAAACUCCUACGGGAGGCAGCAGUGGGGAAUAUUGCACAAUGGGGGAAACCCUGAUGCAGCGACGCCGCGUGAGCGAAGAAGUAUUUCGGUAUGUAAAGCUCUAUCAGCAGGGAAGAAAAAAAUGACGGUACCUGACUAAGAAGCCCCGGCUAACUACGUGCCAGCAGCCGCGGUAAUACGUAKGGKGCAAGCGUUAUCCGGAUUUACUGGGUGUAAAGGGAGCGUAGACGGCKRYGYAAGUCUGAAGUGAAAGCCCGGGGCUCAACCCCCGGGACUGCUUUGGAAACUAUGCAGCUAGAGUGUCGGAGAGGUAAGUGGAAUUCCCAGUGUAGCGGUGAAAUGCGUAGAUAUUGGGAGGAACACCAGUGGCGAAGGCGGCUUACUGGACGAUGACUGACGUUGAGGCUCGAAAGCGUGGGGAGCAAACAGGAUUAGAUACCCUGGUAGUCCACGCCGUAAACGAUGACUACUAGGUGUCGGGUGGCAAAGCCAUUCGGUGCCGCAGCAAACGCAAUAAGUAGUCCACCUGGGGAGUACGUUCGCAAGAAUGAAAC